CAGGGACAAUGAAGUCAAUAUUUAAUAUUCUUGUUCCCAUCUAGUCAGCCAUAUUGUAACGUGAAUGUGCAGUAAACUAUAUGAAUCGGCGUUAGACGUUUUUUUCCCGCCAAGAUUAAAAUACGUUUGCGCCACAUAUAUGUUUGUUUGUUCUCGUCUUUGAACGAAAAAGAAAACAGACCAUUUCUAGGGACAUAAAUCCUAUAUAAGGUGGCGAAUUUAGUUUCAGUAUGUUACAUUUGCAUAAAUCUUUCAUCGGAUAUUUAAUUUCUUCAAAUUAUUCCUUAUGAAAUCGUUUACAUGCAUUAAAAUAUAAAUUGAUCUCUAAUAUCAGUCAGUUUGUUUGCUUUACCUCUUUUCAGUCAUUUAACGUAACAAGGGAAAUAUAUUAUUUCAGUAAUAAUGAAGGUUUAAAGUGAAAUAGGUGAAUUAUAUGACAAGUAAGUUUAUAUAAACACUCCGGUCAUUUUGAAUCACAAUGCUCACCAGAUUCUGAUUUAUGGAUAUGUAAGUCAUGAAUAUAUUUUCCAUAAGACCAAUAUUUUUGUCAAUUAUGUAUAUUUUUAUUCGUCGUGAUGAUCCUGUCUAAGUGCUAGAAUGGACAGUGGUGGAAAUUUCCAUAUUUUAUUUCAAGAUUUAUUCUUUCUCUAAUUGUAAGUAACAUGAUAAAUUUUAAACUAGCGCUAUUUAUAAAAGGAUACACUGACACCGUUGUGUGUGUAUCAAAUAUAAUGUUUUUCUGCAUUUCGUGCAAAUGUAAGAAUUCUGGCCAUAUGUCUGUACAUUCCUUCUGUGUUCGCAGAUUAAUAGCCUUAACAGCGGAGAUGUUUAAGAUAAAAACACAAUCCACACCAAAUAUUCGCCUUAAUGUUAAAAGGUUUUUAAUUUUAUGAGAUAAGGAGUAGGGAAAACAAGUGUUGAAUGUAUCAAUAAUAUGUUGUUUGUUACAUAAAAAUGCAUUUAAAUGAAUUGUUUGAAUAGUUUAUGCAUAGGAAAUUCAGUGUACAACUUACAGGUCUGAAGUUAACCGUUAAAUAUUAUCCGGAGAAAAAUACUUUUCCGUACGUUAGUUUUACGAAAGAUAAAAAGCUUUACGGUUACUCACAUUUCCGAACUCUUUGAAUUCUAUGUUUAAGGGAAUAGGGAUAACAGUAUCGAAUUUUAAAUAAAGAGCUCCAAAAGGUAUAGAGCUCCGCCAAACUGCAUUAAUGAAUAGGAUCUUACAGCUCUAUUCUAGAUGUAAAAUCCCAGAACGUUUGGUUUCUAUUAGGAUAGAUGUUGAGCAACAAAGAUGUCACAAACAUUGGUGGUUUUACAAAACAUGUCCUGACUUUAUAAUACUGCACGUUUGUAACGUCGUUUUUACAUUAAUUCGCGAAAUUUUGAUCAAGCUGUUAUAUAUAUACGUGUGAUUUAAAAUUAUCAAGCACUGCCGUUAUUACAUUGAUACCUUAUGUGAAAAGUAUUGGAUAUUGUGUACAAAGGUCUUGAAACUGGAAUAGUUGUUCAGUAUAUUUAUAUUUUUAGCUGUAAUGAACCUCAUCUUCAGACGGUAUCAGCAUGAAAAACGUAACACGAAACAACAUCAUAAAUACAUUUAAUAACUCAACAUGUGGGGUAUUUACCUUUUUUUUGAAUACAUUCAAUUUUAUUCAUUGCUAUGCAUUGGAGGAAAAAUGCUAAAACAUCCUUGAUGAUAAAUCUAAACAUAUUUUUCGGCUAUAACUAGUUGUAAAUGCCGUGCGGAGGCUAUUAAAAGCGAUCUCGUGUAUACAAUCAGAGAUAUUAUAUUUUUGGUCAUUAAAAUUCUUCGAGCAUGACUUUAUUGUUAUUUGUCUGGUAAUUUAAUUUGUUCUGUUUUAUAUUAUAGUUUACUUGUAGGGUCGUUCCAAUAUUCCGAUGUAAAUACUGUAUUUAUAAUCAUUAAAUUAUUUUGUUUCCCAUUUGUGUCCUAUUUUUGGGCUAUAUGUGAUGUGCAGGUUUCAUAAUCUCUAAUUCGGUAUCAAAGUUUUCGCUUAUUUAGUUCUGUCCCUUGUUCAUGUGUUGGACGAUGCGCCGCUUAUUAUGGAAACAUUUAAAGGUCCUUGAUUACCGCCGCGGAUGUUUUUAAAUACUAAUUUACAUCAUUUUCAUGUUUAAAUUUUGAAUUCUGCUUGAGCCGGUGCAAGAGGGUGUGGAUGGUAGCUUGCACUUAUCAAUGUCAGUGAAAAAUAUGACUCAUUUUUCAAAAAGUCCUUUUUUAAUAUAUUCAUCCGCAAAGUAUAAAUUGAUAAACGAAUAGAGAAUGCGUACUGUCACUUUACGUUUCAAGUAGUAUACACAUAUGGUACGUUUUAUAUAUAAAAUUGAUAAAAUCAGGAACUGUGAGCGGUAUGAAUAUGUCUGUUAAUCUUGCUUGUAUUAUAGAAACCCAUCUGGCCAUGGAUAUGUAGAUUGGGAAUACUGUUUUGCAUUCCGGAUCUCAUCCCGACUGGUGGCGUAUAUUUUGAAGUGCGAAAGAAAAAUGGCACAGUUGUUAAUAUAAGAAACGCGUGCUUCUAUGAUGUUGAAGGUGGAUUUUCCAAUUUAUACAAAGGCUUUACAGUGGGAUUAAUUGUUCUCCGAGCUUUUUCCUUAGUAUUUCUGUUGUUUAGCAACUGUCCAUAACAGUGUGCUAGAGCAAAACAAGGAAGAUCUGUGGGGAAACACUGUUGCCCCAGCUACCGUUCCUCCAGUUUUUAACCGGUCUGAACCAGUUACUACGAAUACAGCACACGCUUUAGGUGCAACUAAUAUAACUGUUACAGGCAAUGAAGCUUAACUGAAAGUAAAGAUACAACGACUAGAAGCGAGGUUAGCUGAACUCCGAGCAAGAGAGGCUGCAAACAUACAACGAUUCAGUGUUGUACCGCCUCCUCUAUUUUACAGCGAACUGAUGACUUCUGGUCAAAUUAAUAACAACAGAGCGAGCCCUGUCUACACUAUUAAUGAAAUUGAAAACUUUCAAUAAGCUGUUGAUGACAUCUGAUGCAAAUACCGGUAUUUCAAAUGAACAAUUUUGCAAACAGACAACAGAUUGGACGGUCAUUCCAAAAACAUGUUUUUAAAUAACAUCUUUUAUAUAUCUGCUUCCAAGUUUUAUUGAAAUUUUGUUUACUUUUGAACACCUUGUUGUAUCUUAUAAACUAUUUUGUAAUACUUGUUUAACAUGUUUGCAGUAAGUAAACAAUUUUUUAUGUAAAAGGUAUGGAACACAAUGUACAUGUAUAAGGAAUCUUAAUAUCAUGUUCACAUAUCAUAUGACAUAUAAUAUACUAAGUUUGACCGCAAUCAUUCAGCACAUACUUUACUGUAACAUAGAAAUGUUUAAAAAAUUAUUUUAAGGUUCCCUUUUAUACCUAUUUUGUUUCUGUUAUUAUACUAAUUUGCUAAAUUCUAAGUUCUGUCUAAAACUUGUUUAUUCAUUGUUUUCCUUUACCUGCAAAUAGGGGGUUUAGCAUAAUGAAAAAUAAAACCUGGUCGCUUUUCAAAACUCCAUUUUAUUUAUUAAGGCCCAUUGUGUUCUCAGUUAGGGCACAAUACUUCUUUAACUUUGGGACCAUACGCCGCUUUUUAUUGCAUGGUACAAAAGUGUCUCAUUGAAGGUUUCAUUAUAAGUGCCGUAUGAACAAAUCUGCGGAUGUUUCAUAAAUCUAAAUUUCAACAUUUUUAUGUUUGUAAAUGUUGAAUUGUGCUAGGGAACGUGGACGGUAUCUUGUAUUUUCUAUUUCCCUCCAUGAUCAGGCUCAAACAAACCGAGUCUGCAACAUUUUUCUUUUCAAUUUUGUCGUUUUUGGACGCUCUUUAGAGAUUUUUUUCUCUAGAUAUUUUAUUUGCACUUAUAUUUGCGCUAUGAAUAAUUGGAGUAAUUAUUUCAGUAUGACACUUGCUAUCUCUUUUUGUUUCUUUAAGGGUGUAUGUUAAUUGCGCAGGUUACUGAACAAAAAACUUGUUAACUGUUCGCAUUAAUAUAAAUUAACCAAACGUGUUUAUAUUGUAUAAGGUCAUAUGGCGACUUCAGAGGAUUGUCUCGGUGCCUUUUCAAUCCUCAUUUCAGGAACGAUCGCUCUUCUAAGAAGGUCAAUAAAUCAAAGUAUUAAUUUCGUACAUUUUGCAUUUCCUGCAUAUAAAAAUGGAUACGGAAUACUUUUUAUGCUUUCCGAAGGGAGAGCAUAUAGUCGCCACCUUGUCCAUAUGUCCGUCCGUUCGUCUGUCCGUCCGUCCGUUGUCUUUUCUUGUCCGGAGCAUAACUUGAAAACCCUUGGAGAUAAUUUGUUCAAACUUCAUACAGUGGUAGAGGGCAUUGAGGUCGGGGGGGGGGGGGUGCAGUGUCAAAGAACCAUAGCUCUAUUUUGCCCGGUUUUUGAAUUAUCUCCCCUUAUAGAAAAAUCUUGUCCGGGACAUAACUCUAAAACUAUAAGAGAAAUCAACAUGAAACUUUGUAGGUGAAUAGAUCUCAAUGAGUAGAUGUGCAGUGCACAAGAACCAUAACUCUAUUCUGUCCGAUUUUUAAUUAUCUCCCCUUUUAGAAAAAGCUUGUCCGGGACAUAACUCUUAAACUAUAAGAGAUAUCAACAUGAAACUUGUAGGUAAAUAUAUCUUAACUGGUAGAUGUGCAGUGCACAAGAACCAUAACUCUAUUCUGCCUGGUUUUUGAAUUAUCUCCCCUUUUAGAAAAAUCUUGUCCGGGACAUAACUCUUAAACUAUAAGAGAUAUCAACAUGAAACUUUGUUGGUAAAUAGGUCUCAAUGGGUAGAUGUGCAGAGCACAAUUACCAUAACUCUUUUUUUGCCUAAUUUUGGAGUUAUUGCUCUUUGUUAAUUUUAAUACUUUGAACUUUGACCGGAACAUAACUCUAAAACUAUAAGAGAUAUCAAGAUGAAACAUUGUUAGUAGAUAGAUCUCAUUGAGUAGAAGUGCAGUGCAAAAGAACCAUAACUCUGUUAAGCCUCAUUUUUUAAUAAUCUCCCGUUUUAGAAAAAUCUUGUCUAGGACAUAGCUGUAAAACUAUAAGAGAUAUCAACAUGAAACUUUGUAGGUAGAUAUACCUCAAUAGGUAAAUGUGCAGUGCACAAGAAUCAUAACUCUGCCUUGCCUAAUUUUGGAGUUAUUGCCCUUUGUUUAUUUUUACUUUUUAAACUUUGUCUGGGACAUUACUCUAAAAUUAUAAGAGAUAUCAUCAUGAAACUUUGUAGGUAGAUAGAUCUCUUUGAGUAAAAGAGCAUUACAAAAAAAUAUAUCUCUGUUUUGUCUAAUUUUGAAUUAUCUCCCCUUUUAAAAAAAUCUUGUCCGGGAAAUAACUCUAAAACUACAAGAGAUAUCAACAUGAAGCUAUGUAGGGUGAUGGAUCUCAAUGGGUAGAUGUGCAGUGCACAAGAACUUGAACUCCGCCUUUCCAAAUUCUUUGUUCAUUUUUACGUUUUGAACUUUGUCCGCGACAUAACUCGGAAACCAUAAGAGGUAUCAACACGAAACUUUGUAGGUUGAUAGAUCACAUUGAUUAGAAGUGCAGUGCAAAGUACAGUAACUCUGCCUUGCCUAAUUUUGGAAUUAUUGCACUUUGAACUUUUUCCAGGGACAUAACUCUGAAACUACAAGAGGUGAACUUUCCUGUGUCCAAAACCUAUUCGGGGAGCAUCACCCGGCUCUUAUUGCUCUUUAGUUUUAUUUGAAUGCUCUUACAAUAUAGUAUUUUACAACUAUGUUUUCGUAUAAAUGUAUUACAAUAUUAUAAAGUGUAGUGUUGAAAUAAGCUUUAACGAUAUUAGAACAUUACUGUAUUCUUAUCUUUGAAGACUUGUGUCAAGUUUGAGAUAGAUGUCCAAUUUUAUCAAAUAUUAAAAACAUUUUGAAAUGAUCACGUAACAUGAAAGUUCUUUAUUUAUAUACAGUAAUUGCAUGCAUUCUAGUCAAGUGUGGGAUAUCAGUUGGUACAUGUUGUGAAAAUGGGUGGAUAACAUUCGGAGAAUCUUGCUAUCUUUUUGACGAUGAACAUCAACUUAACUGGAUAGAAGCAACGCAAACUUGUGCAUCUUAUGGUGGUUCGCAUUUGGUGACAAUUGAAAACCCAGAUGAGUUUUCAUUCCUUCAGAAUCAUAGCAAAAGAUUGUUUAAAAAACGGUUAAGUAUAUUAUUCAAUGACUAACACAAUCAAUGUAUCAAGAAUUAAACACACUAAAAUGAUAGAUAAGUAAGACAACGGUUCGAACAUUGUUUGGCGCUGACUGGACAGUCACUAUGAUGGUUAGGAAGUCACGCGUGGUGUGUGUAUCAUUUCUUAGGCCAAAUAUCAUAUGUUACUUCUUAACCGGGAGAUAUCAAUUCUUGUCUGUAUUGUUAAUGACUUUAUUCAGUGUUUAAUCAGUUAUAUUGAUAGAUUCGGUGUUAUGUAUAUCUAGUUGAA